CAGAGGGUGCAAACGUUGUUCGGAAUUACUGGGCGUAAAGCGCGUGUAGGCGGCCCUGCAAGUCGGGUGUGAAAUCCCACGGCUCAACCGUGGAAGUGCACUCGAAACUGCAGGGCUAGAGUCCUGGAGAGGAAGGUGGAAUGCUUGGUGUAGAGGUGAAAUUCGUAGAUAUCAAGCGGAACACCGGUGGCGAAGGCGGCCUUCUGGACAGUGACUGACGCUGAGACGCGAAAGCGUGGGGAGCAAACAGGAUUAGAUACCCUGGUAGUCCACGCCGUAAACGAUGAGUGCUAGGUGUCACGGGCUUUGACCCUCGUGGUGCCGAAGCUAACGCGUUAAGCACUCCGCCUGGGGAGUACGGUCGCAAGACUAA
rnacentral:rRNA from 1 species